rnacentral:rRNA from 1 species
UACGGAGGGUGCGAGCGUUGUCCGGAAUCACUGGGCGUAGAGGGCGCGUAGGCGGCGCGGGGAGUCAACGGUGAAAGCUCGGCGCUCAACGCCGAGUCGGCCGUCGAUACUCCCGUGCUCGAGCACUGUAGAGGCAGGUGGAAUUCCGGGUGUAGCGGUGGAAUGCGUAGAGAUCCGGAAGAACACCGGUGGCGAAGGCGGCCUGCUGGGCAGUAGCUGACGCUGAGGCGCGACAGCGUGGGGAGCAAACAGG